AGAACGUGAAACAUUGACACGUAGUGUUGAAAGUUAAGGCCUUGGAAGGAUUUACCUGACAAAGACUUGAUAAACCGUACUGACAGAUCUCCCAAAGUCACAGAUUGAAAAAGCUGUCAUUGAGACCCUACUAUGUGCUGCCCAUUGGGGAUUCCAUAGCAAACAAAACAGACAACUUCCUACCCUCAAAUGAAGAUAGUUGCCUAAACCUGUUCUCCAGAAGGCCAUCAACUCCAUUAAACUCCCGACUUGGAAACCACAGCAUGUGUCUGAGGACCAGGCAAGAGGCCGGUGAUGCUGGGUGGCUGUGAGUGAGGGGGAGAGUGGGACGUGAUAAGGGUGGAAAGCUAGACCAGAGGCAGAGCGCCAUGAUAAACUCAGGAUUUUAUUCUAAGUGGAGCGGAAAACUGUGAGGGGCAGCAGAGGUCGUCAUCAGUAAGAGUGUGGGCUUUAGAGCCGUCCAGUCUCAGUUCAAAUCCCAGCCCUCCCAGGAACUGACUGUGACCUUGAGCAAGAAACUUGGCAACUGUUUGCGUGUCUGUAAAAUACAGAUAAUAGGACCUGUCUCAUUGGCUUGUCCUGAAGAUCGAAUGAGUCAAUUUUAUAAAAGUACGUUAAGACAGCACUUCCACGUAAGUGAUCGCUAAAGAAGAGUUUGUUAAAAGUGUUUUGCUUUCAUCACUAUCUGUUGUACAGGUUUGGAGGCUGUCCCAGAAGCCUGCAGAGGGAGGGUGGCAACCCGGACUGUGGUGGUGGCAUCGAGCUGGAAAUAAGUGGACGGGUAAAGCUAACGACAGCGAACGUUUACAGAGCACAUGCCACGCGCUGGGCACUACUCUGAGCUCUUCACGUGCGGUUGUCUCUUACUACCUCACAGCCGUCUACGAGCCACGUACGAUUGUCAUUCUCACUUUGCAGAUGAGGAGACUGAGCCCGAAGCUUGCGCAAGAUCAUACAGUUAACAGAAGAGCCAAAAGGUCAAAGUCAGGCAGUCUGAAUCAGCACUCUGUAGCGGUCACCUCUCUCUCUCAGCUAGUGACAGAUGACAGUGGGACAUCACGGACUCAGAGCAUACGAAACCGUAACUAGGCUUUGGUGCGCGCUAUGCUGUCACUUUCAGCCUCUUGGUAGUGUGAGCGCCGCGGGGGCCGCAGUGGCACAGAGCCUACAAAAUAUCUCCAACCUUCUGAAACAUUUAUUUUGCCAAGUGAAGUCUGCUCAUUAAAAUUAUUACCAAAACCAUGAGAUAUGCAACUUUUUAAAAAGAGGAUUC